AACGAACGCUGGCGGCAGGCUUAACACAUGCAAGUCGAACGAUAUAGUGGCAGACGGGUGAGUAACGCGUGGAAACGUGCCUUUCACUACGGAAUAGCUUUUGGAAACGAAAGGUAAUACCGUAUACGCCCUCCGGGGGAAAGAUUUAUCGGUGAAAGAUCGGUCCGCGUUAGAUUAGCUAGUUGGUAAGGUAAUGGCUUACCAAGGCUACGAUCUAUAGCUGGUCUGAGAGGAUGAUCAGCCACACUGGGACUGAGACACGGCCCAGACUCCUACGGGAGGCAGCAGUGGGGAAUCUUGCACAAUGGGCGAAAGCCUGAUGCAGCCAUGCCGCGUGAGUGAUGAAGGCCCUAGGGUUGUAAAGCUCUUUCGCUAAGGAUGAUAAUGACAGUACUUAGUAAAGAAGCCCCGGCUAACUUCG
rnacentral:rRNA from 1 species